CAGCAACAGUUCCUGCAGAAUUCGGAACGCCGGCCUGGGAAGCGAGGAAGGAGGGCAAGAGCACCACAGGCAGCCACUGACAGGGGGUGGGGAUGAUGCGGACUGACGCGCUCCAGUCUGCAGGCAGGAGGAGAGCAAUUCUGGGGACACCAAGUGAUCAAGCUGGAGGCUGCCCUCACAUACAGAGCUAAUAUGUUCUCAUGCCCAGAAUGUCCACCUGCAAACCAAGUUGUCUUAGAACUUUCUUCUGAGACUGACACUGUGGAGGCUGCGGCAGAGUAUGCUGGAGCCGUGCCAGCGUCCAGGAGGCCAGCGUUUGGGAGCACGAGAAAGCUGCUCUCAAGAACAGGACAAGCGCACCCCCAGCCUCGCGCCCAAGCCCAGGUUGGUUUUCCUACUCAAUGGACACCACAAGUGUCUCUCCUGUGACACUCGCCACAGGACACUACCAAGUCGAGCCCAAGCUACACAG